UUAUCCGGAAUUAUUGGGCGUAAAGCGUCUGUAGGUUGCCUAACAAGUCUAUUGUUAAAGGUUAGAGCUUAACUCUAAAACUGCAGUAGAAACUGUUAGGCUUGAGUACAGUCGAAGUAGAGGGAAUUUCCAGUGAAGCGGUGAAAUGCGUAGAUAUUGGAAGGAACACCAAUGGCGAAGGCACUCUAUUAGACUUUUACUGACACUCAGAGACGAAAGCUAGGGUAGCAAAUGGGAUUAGAUACCCCAGUAGUCCUAGCCGUAAACGAUGGAUACUAAACAUUGCGUGCAUCGAUCCGCGUGGUGUUAUAGCUAACGCGUUAAGUAUCCCGCCUGGGGAGUAUGCUCGCAAGGGUGAAACUCAAAGGAAUUGACGGGGGCCCGCACAAGCGGUGGAGCAUGUGGUUUAAUUUGAUGCAACGCGAAGAACCUUGCCAGGGUUUGACAUGGUGUUAAUUCUUUGAAAAAAGAAGUACCGUUCGCGGUAGACACACACAGGUGGUGCAUGGCUGUCGUCAGCUCGCGUCGUGAGAUGUUGGGUUAAGUCCCGCAACGAGCGCAACCCUUGUUUUUAGUUACAAGUAAUCUAAAAAGACUACCGGUUAUAAACCGGAGGAAGGUGGGGACGACGUCAA
rnacentral:rRNA from 1 species